rnacentral:rRNA from 1 species
UGAGGAAUAUUGGUCAAUGGACGGAAGUCUGAACCAGCCAAGUAGCGUGCAGGAUGACGGCCCUAUGGGUUGUAAACUGCUUUUAUACGGGGAUAAAGUUAGGGACGUGUCCCUAUUUGCAGGUACCGCAUGAAUAAGGACCGGCUAAUUCCGUGCCAGCAGCCGCGGUAAUACGGAAGGUCCGGGCGUUAUCCGGAUUUAUUGGGUUUAAAGGGAGCGUAGGCCGUAGAUUAAGUGUGUUGUGAAAUGUAGACGCUCAACGUCUGACUUGCAGCGCAUACUGGUUUACUUGAGUUUGCACAACGUUGGCGGAAUUCGUCGUGUAGCGGUGAAAUGCUUAGAUAUGACGAAGAACUCCGAUUGCGAAGGCAGCUUGCGGGAGCAAAACUGACGCUGAAGCUCGAAAGUGCGGGUAUCGAACAGG